UGAAAGCUGAAGCCCACUGGAAAAGUGAAGAUACUCUCUGCAAUAUAGGCACACCAGACCACCGUACUUGUGUGUCUGGCCAUGCUGCUCCACAGCCAAACCCAGAGCAAGGGCUGCUUCUGCUUCUCUGCCUCGUCUUUGUUCAUGAUGACCAAGAUUUGGCAUCCCUUUGCCUAGCUGUGAGGAGAAAUUCAAGGAUGGCCCAAAUUGUUGAAGCCUCCAUCUCAAAUGUCAGACCACCUGGGAUAUGCAGCUGUCAUGCUGAAAGGGGAGCUGCCUGGGACCGGCCCUGGCCUGCUCAUCAAAAAGAUACUGUCACUACCCAGCAAGCAUUGCUAGGUGCACAGGGUGACGGCAAGAGAGAUGCACCUGGCUCUGGAUUUGAGGGAUGAAGAAAAAAUAAAGAACGUAGAUGGAACUAUGUAUAUCAUCAAAACAGACUUGCCUCUGCUGUGUUAUUCUCUCCAUCAACAUAUUUACAUCUUCCCUGUCAAUACUUGUGCAGAGAUCAAUAUAUCCUGAUUAUGAAUAAAUAAAAAUGUGUAAUAUUCC